rnacentral:rRNA from 1 species
CGAGCGGUAACAUUUCUAGCUUGCUAGAAGAUGACGAGCGGCGGACGGGUGAGUAAUGCUUGGGAAUAUGCCUUAUGGUGGGGGACAACAGUUGGAAACGACUGCUAAUACCGCAUAAUGUCUACGGACCAAAGGGGGGGAUCUUCGGACCUCUCGCCAUUUGAUUAGCCCAAGUGAGAUUAGCUAGUUGGUGAGGUAAUGGCUCACCAAGGCGACGAUCUCUAGCUGGUUUGAGAGGAUGAUCAGCCACACUGGGACUGAGACACGGCCCAGACUCCUACGGGAGGCAGCAGUGGGGAAUAUUGCACAAUGGGCGCAAGCCUGAUGCAGCCAUGCCGCGUGUGUGAAGAAGGCCUUCGGGUUGUAAAGCACUUUCAGUAAGGAGGAAAGGGAUGUAGUUAAUAACUGCAUUCUGUGACGUUACUUACAGAAGAAGCACCGGCUAACUUCGUGCCAGCAGCCGCGGUAAUACGAGGGGUGCAAGCGUUAAUCGGAAUUACUGGGCGUAAAGCGUUCGUAGGCGGUUGAUUAAGCAAGAUGUGAAAGCCCAGGGCUCAACCUUGGAACUGCAUUUUGAACUGGUCAACUAGAGUACUGUAGAGGGUGGUGGAAUUUCCA